CAUUGGCUACUGAACUUUUCAGGUGUGGAAAUACUAUCCAUUGGGAUUCUGUUUUUGAUGAGAUAGCGUUCAUACACCUACACAUUCAGACUUGGGUGUGCAUAGAUUGGAAUUGGCAUAUCCACUGUUUUUGGAACUGUGUAACUUGUCAAGUAAAAGAAACGGUUGAAUUAAUUAAGUAAUCUGAUUUCUUAGCUUAAUGCAGAAGCCCAAUAGUGUGAUUAGAACUGUGAUUUUGAGAUGUGGGAACCUAAAGAAUCCUGUGUUGGGUGUGUAUAGUUAGUCAAUCUGAACUACACAAGUGACUGUAGGAAAUUUUAGUUGCAACUCCAGACUAGUUUUCUUGGAUGAAUGCAAAUGUAGUUUGUGCAACCAUGUGUGUGACAAGAGAACUAGGGACCUAUUUCUGUGGUGC
rnacentral:misc_RNA from 1 species